GAUGAACGCUGGCAGCAUGCUUAACACAUGCAAGUCGAUGGGGAAGUGGUGCUUGCACCAUGGCAACCAUGGCGGACGGGUGAGUAACGCGUAAGGGACUUACCUGCAGGACUGGGAUAACAGGGGGAAACUCCUGACAAGACCGGAUAAUGUCAUGGAGCUGCAUGGCUUUAUGAUGAAAGGAGACGCCUGCGGAGAGCCUUGCGUCAUAUUAGCUAGUUGGUGAGGUAAUGGCUCACCAAGGCGAAGAUAGGUAGCCGGCCUGAGAGGGUGGACGGCCACAAGGGGACUGAGAUACGGCACUUACUCAUACGGGAGGCAGCAGUGGGGAAUAGUGGACAAGGGGGGCAACCCUGAUCCAGCAAUUCUGUGUGCACGAAGAAGGUUUUCGGAUUGUAAAGCGCUUUCAGCAGGGAAGAAGUAAGUGACGGUACCUGCAGAAGAAGCGACGGCUAAAUACGUG
rnacentral:rRNA from 1 species